rnacentral:misc_RNA from 1 species
GAACUGCGAUAAGUAAUGUGAAUUGCAGAAUUCAGUGAAUCAUCGAGUCUUUGAACGCACAUUGCGCCCCCUGGCAUUCCGGGGGGCAUGCCUGUCCGAGCGUCAUUGCUGCCCUUCAAGCCCGGCUUGUGUGUUGGGUCGUCGUCCCCGCCGGGGGACGGGCCCGAAAGGCAGCGGCGGCACAGCGUCCGGUCCUCGAGCGUAUGGGGCUUUGUCACCCGCUCGAUAAGGACCGGCCGGGCGCCAGCCGGCGUCUCCAACCUUUUUUUCUCAGGUUGACCUCGGAUCAGGUAGGGAUACCCGCUGAACUUAAGC